rnacentral:rRNA from 1 species
AUACGGAGGGUGCAAGCGUUGUCCGGAUUUAUUGGGUUUAAAGGGUGCGUAGGUGGCUUUUUAAGUCAGUGGUGAAAUUUCAGGGCUCAACUUUGAAACUGCCAUUGAUACUGGGAAGCUUGAGUAUUGUUGAGGCAGGCGGAAUUUAUGAUGUAGCGGUGAAAUGCAUAGAUAUCAUAAAGAACACCGAUAGCGAAGGCAGCUUGCUAAACGAUAUCUGACACUAAUGCACGAAAGCGUGGGUAGCGAACAGGAUUAGAAACCCUAGUAGUCC